GACGAACGCUGGCGGCGUGCUUAACACAUGCAAGUCGAACGGAAAGGCCCUGCUUUUGUGGGGUGCUCGAGUGGCGAACGGGUGAGUAACACGUGAGUAACCUGCCCUUGACUUUGGGAUAACUUCAGGAAACUGGGGCUAAUACCGGAUAGGAGCUCCUGCUGCAUGGUGGGGGUUGGAAAGUUUCGGCGGUUGGGGAUGGACUCGCGGCUUAUCAGCUUGUUGGUGGGGUAGUGGCUUACCAAGGCUUUGACGGGUAGCCGGCCUGAGAGGGUGACCGGCCACAUUGGGACUGAGAUACGGCCCAGACUCCUACGGGAGGCAGCAGUGGGGAAUAUUGCACAAUGGGCGGAAGCCUGAUGCAGCAACGCCGCGUGCGGGAUGGGGGCCUUCGGGUUGUAAACCGCUUUCGCCUGUGACGAAGCGUGAGUGACGGUAAUGGGUAAAGAAGCACCGGCUAACUACGUG
rnacentral:rRNA from 1 species